rnacentral:siRNA from 1 species
UGGUUUUUUGCUUUCAUCUUA